AUUGAACGCUGGCGGCAGGCCUAACACAUGCAAGUCGAGCGGAUGAAGGGAGCUUGCUCCUGGAUUCAGCGGCGGACGGGUGAGUAAUGCCUAGGAAUCUGCCUGGUAGUGGGGAAUACCUUCGGGAACCGGGCGCUAUUCCCGCAUCCGUCCUGGGGAGGAAGUUGGGGAAUCUUCGGCCCUCCCGCUUUCGAUUAACCCUAGGUCGGAUUAGCUAGUUGGUGGGGUAAAGGCCUACCAAGGCGACGAUCCGUAACUGGUCUGAGAGGAUGAUCAGUCACACUGGAACUGAGACACGGUCCAGACUCCUACGGGAGGCAGCAGUGGGGAAUAUUGGACAAUGGGCGAAAGCCUGAUCCAGCCAUGCCGCGUGUGUGAAGAAGGUCUUCGGAUUGUAAAGCACUUUAAGUUGGGAGGAAGGGCAGUAAGUUAAUACCUUGCUGUUUUGACGUUACCAACAGAAUAAGCACCGGCUAACUUCGUG
rnacentral:rRNA from 1 species